GGCCUGGUGGUGCAAUGGUUGAGCACUCAGCUGCUAACUGAAAUGUUGGUGGUUAGAAUCCACCAGCCA
rnacentral:tRNA from 1 species